GCGCGAGAGGAGCGGCCGAUGCCCGAUUAGCUAGUUGGUGGGGUAAAAGCUCACCAAGGCGACGAUCGGUAGCUGGUCUGAGAGGACGACCAGCCACACUGGGACUGAGACACGGCCCAG
rnacentral:rRNA from 1 species